rnacentral:tRNA from 1 species
UGCGGUGUAGCUCAGUUGUAGAGUGCUUGUCUAACAUGCAUGAGGUCCUAGAUUCCAUCCCAAGCAUGGCAA